rnacentral:rRNA from 1 species
ACUUUCAACAACGGAUCUCUUGGUUCUGGCAUCGAUGAAGAACGCAGCAAAAUGCGAUAAGUAAUGUGAAUUGCAGAAUUCAGUGAAUCAUCGAAUCUUUGAACGCACAUUGCGCCCGCCAGUAUUCUGGCGGGCAUGCCUGUUCGAGCGUCAUUUCAACCCUCAAGCCCAGCUUGGUGUUGGGACUCGCGAGUUAAAUCGCGUUCCCCAAAUUGAUUGGCGGUCACGUCGAGCUUCCAUAGCGUAGUAGUAAAACCCUCGUUACUGGUAAUCGUCGCGGCCACGCCGUUAAACCCCAACUUCUGAAUGUUGACCUCGGAUCAGGUAGGAAUACCCGCUGAACUUAAGCAUAUCAAUAAGCGGAGGAAAAGAAACCAACAGGGAUUGCCCUAGUAACGGCGAGUGAAGCGGCAACAGCUCAAAUUUGAAAUCUGGCUCUCGGGCCCGAGUUGUAAUUUGUAGAGGAUACUUUUGAUGCGGUGCCUUCCGAGUUCCCUGGAACGGGACGCCAUAGAGGGUGAGAGCCCCGUCUGGUUGGAUGCCAAAUCUCUGUAAAGUUCCUUCGACGAGUCGAGUAGUUUGGGAAUGCUGCUCUAAAUGGGAGGUAUAUGUCUUCUAAAGCUAAAUACCGGCCAGAGACCGAUAGCGCACAAGUAGAGUGAUCGAAAGAUGAAAAGCACUUUGAAAAGAGAGUUAAAAAGUACGUGAAAUUGUUGAAAGGGAAGCGUUUAUGACCAGACUUGGGCUUGGUUAAUCAUCUGGGGUUCUCCCCAGUGCACUUUUCCAGUCCAGGCCAGCAUCAGUUUUCCCCGGGGGAUAAAGACUUCGGGAAUGUGGCUCUCUUCGGGGAGUGUUAUAGCCCGUUGUGUAAUACCCUGGGGGGGACUGAGGUUCGCGCAUCUGCAAGGAUGCUGGCGUAAUGGUCAUCAACGACCCGUCUUGAAACACGGACCAAGGAGUCGUCUUCGUAUGCGAGUGUUCGGGUGUCAAACCCCUACGCGUAAUGAAAGUGAACGCAGGUGAGAGCUUCGGCGCAUCAUCGACCGAUCCUGAUGUUCUCGGAUGGAUUUGAGUAAGAGCAUACGGGGCCGGACCCGAAAGAAGGUGAACUAUGCCUGUAUAGGGUGAAGCCAGAGGAAACUCUGGUGGAGGCUCGCAGCGGUUCUGACGUGCAAAUCGAUCGUCAAAUAUGGGCAUGGGGGCGAAAGACUAAUCGAACCUUCUAGUAGCUGGUUUCCGCCGAAGUUUCCCUCAGGAUAGCAGUGUUGAACUCAGUUUUAUGAGGUAAAGCGAAUGAUUAGGGACUCGGGGGCGCUAUUUAGCCUUCAUCCAUUCUCAAACUUUAAAUAUGUAAGAAGCUCUUGUUGCUUAAUUGAACGUGAGCAUUCGAAUGUAUCAACACUAGUGGGCCAUUUUUGGUAAGCAGAACUGGCGAUGCGGGAUGAACCGAACGCGAGGUUAAGGUGCCAGAGUAGACGCUCAUCAGACACCACAAAAGGUGUUAGUACAUCUUGACAGCAGGACGGUGGCCAUGGAAGUCGGAAUCCGCUAAGGACUGUGUAACAACUCACCUGCCGAAUGUACUAGCCCUGAAAAUGGAUGGCGCUCAAGCGUCUCACCCAUACCUCGCCCUCAGGGUAGAAACGAUGCCCUGAGGAGUAGGCGGACGUGGAGGUCAGUGACGAAGCCUAGGGCGUGAGCCCGGGUUGAACGGCCUCUAGUGCAGAUCUUGGUGGUAGUAGCAAAUACUUCAAUGAGAACUUGAAGGACCGAAGUGGGGAAAGGUUCCAUGUGAACAGCGGUUGGACAUGGGUUAGUCGAUCCUAAGCCAUAGGGAAGCUCCGUUUCAAAGGUGCACUUUGCACCGUCUGGCGAAAGGGAAGCCGGUCAAUAUUCCGGCACCUGGAUGUGGGUUUUGCGCGGCAACGCAACUGAACGUGGAGACGACGGCGGGGGCCCCGGGCAGAGUUCUCUUUUCUUCUUAACAGUCUCUCACCCUGAAAUCGGUUUGUCCGGAGCUAGGGUUUAAUGGCUGGAAGAGCCCAGCACCUCUGCUGGGUCCGGUGCGCUCUCGACGUCCCUUGAAAAUCCACGGGAAGGAAUAAUUCUCACGCCAGGUCGUACUCAUAACCGCAGCAGGUCUCCAAGGUGAACAGCCUCUGGUUGAUAGAACAAUGUAGAUAAGGGAAGUCGGCAAAAUAGAUCCGUAACUUCGGGAUAAGGAUUGGCUCUAAGGGUUGGGCACGUUGGGCCUUGGGCGGACGCCUUGGGAGCAGGCUGCCACUAGUCGGGCAACCGACCGGCGGCGGCCAGCAUCCGAGUGUUGAUGCCCUUGGCAGGCUUCGGCCGUCCGGCGUGCGGUUAACAACCAACUUAGAACUGGUACG